UGAGGAAUAUUGGGCAAUGCCCGCAAGGGUGACCCAGCAACGCCGCGUGGAGGAUGAAUGUCGUAAGAUUGUAAACUCCUGUUAGAGGGGAAGAAUAGUACCGGUUGGACCGGUAUAUGACUGUACCCUCAGAGAAAGCCCCGGCUAACUACGUGCCAGCAGCCGCGGUAAUACGUAGGGGGCAAGCGUUGUCCGGAUUUACUGGGUGUAAAGGGCGCGCAGGCGGGAUAAAAAGUCAGUGGUGAAAUCCUACAGCUUAACUGUCGAACUGCCUUUGAUACUUUUAUUCUUGAGUUCGGGAGAGAGAGACGGAAUUCCAGGUGUAGUGGUGAAAUACGUAGAUAUCUGGAAGAACACCAGUUGCGAAGGCGGUCUCUUGGUCCGACACUGACGCUGAGGCGCGAAAGCGUGGGGAGCAAACA
rnacentral:rRNA from 1 species